rnacentral:lncRNA from 1 species
AUGGAGCCCGACACAAGAGGAUCUCUUGCACAAGGAUCUCUUGCACAAGGACACUUUGCACAAGAAACCCUUUGCACAAGGAUCUCUUACGCAACGAAUCCUUAACACAAGGAUCUCUUGCACAAGAACUCGCAUGAGGAUCUCUCACACCAGGGGUCCUUUGCACGAGGAUCUUUUGUACCAGGAAUCUUAACACAAGAAUCUCAUGCACAGAGCCCUUUGCAUAAGGAUCUCUCGCACAAGAAUUCAUUUGCACAAGGCUCUCUUGAACAAGAACUCAUUUGCACAAGGAUCUCUUGCACAAGAACCCCUUAACACAAGGAUCUCUCGCAUCAGAACUCAUUUGCACAAGGAUCUCUUGCACAAGAGCUCACUUACACAAGUAUCUCUCACACCAGGACCCCCUUGCACAAGCAUCUCUCGCACAAGAACCCCUUAACACAAGGAUCUCUCGCACCAGGACCCAUUUACACCAGGACCCCCUUGCACAAGCAUCUCUCGCACAAGUAUCUCUUGCACAAGGAUCUCUCGCACAAGGACCCCUUUGCACAAGGAUCUCUUGCACAAGCAUCUCUUGCACAAGCAUCUCUUGCACAAUGACCCCUUACACAAGCAUCUCUCGCACAAUGACCCCCUUACACAAUCAUCUCUCGCACAAUGACCCCUUACACAAGUACCUCUCGCACCAGGCCCCCUUUGCACGACUCCCCCCCCCUCACUGCUCCUCGUUCCCCCCCGUGAGCUUGUGGAACAGCUCCGUGUCCAUUUGCCGUCCCGCCGUGCGCCCCCCCAUGCACACGUACCCCCCCAGGUACUCGUGCACCGUCUGGCACGAGGCCGACACGACGCUGAACGCCACGUUCAAAUGCUCCUCGAACUCCAGCGCCACCUGGCGGA